rnacentral:rRNA from 1 species
ACGAACGCUGGCGGCGUGCUUAACACAUGCAAGUCGCACGGAAAGGCCCUGCUUUUGUGGGGUGCUCGCGUGGCGAACGGGUGAGUAACACGUGAGUAACCUGCCCUUGACUUUGGGAUAACUUCAGGAAACUGGGGCUAAUACCGGAUAGGAGCUCCUGCUGCAUGGUGGGGGUUGGAAAGUUUCGGCGGUUGGGGAUGGACUCGCGGCUUAUCAGCUUGUUGGUGGGGUAGUGGCUUACCAAGGCUUUGACGGGUAGCCGGCCUGAGAGGGUGACCGGCCACAUUGGGACUGAGAUACGGCCCAGACUCCUACGGGAGGCAGCAGUGGGGAAUAUUGCACAAUGGGCGGAAGCCUGAUGCAGCAACGCCGCGUGCGGGAUGAUGGCCUUCGGGUUGUAAACCGCUUUCGCCUGUGACGAAGCGUGAGUGACGGUAAUGGGUAAAGAAGCACCGGCUAACUACGUG